rnacentral:rRNA from 1 species
UACGUAGGGAGCAAGCGUUGUUCGGAUUUACUGGGCGUAAAGGGCGCGUAGGCGGCAAUUCAAGUCAUCUGUGAAAUCUCCGGGCUUAACUCGGAACGGUCAGAUGAUACUGCGCGGCUAGAGUGCGGAAGGGGCAACUGGAAUUCUUGGUGUAGCGGUGAAAUGCGUAGAUAUCAAGAGGAACACCUGCGGCGAAGGCGGGUUGCUGGGCCGACACUGACGCUGAGGCGCGAAAGCUAGGGGAGCGAACGGG